AAUCUGUGUCAGCAUUUAAUAUUGUUAGUACUUUUAAUUUUAGUCAUUCUAGUAUGAGUGUAGUAAUACCUUCUUAUGGCUGUAUUUUAUUUUUAAAAUAUUUAUUUAUUUAUUUAUUUUAGGGUGAGAGCAAGCAUGCGAGAGCUCCUAUCCACUGGGUCACACCCCAGAUGCUGCAAUGGCUGGGACUGGACUGGGCUAAAGACAGACAGGCGAAAUUCAGUGUGGAUCUUUCAUGUGGAUGCAGGAACCCAGCGGAGCUAUGAAUGCUGCUUUCCAAGAACUGCAUUGGCAAGAAGCUGGGUUCAGGAGCCCAGCAUCACAUCCAGCCACACAGGAAGAAGAUCUGGGCCGCUCACCUCUCUCCUGAAACCGCUCCAGGCCACCAGUCUUCUACAGUAUCGCCAUGUUCACUGUAGCUUCUCAGAGCCUGUCCAGCACGUGAGGUCAAGGUCGGGCGCCUCCUCCUGGAAACACCCCCCUCUCCUGCUCCUCCCUCACUCCACCCUGACUGCCUCAGUUCCCCAGCCUCUGGGCGCGGGCUCUCCCCAUGCCCUGGCCUUUAGCUGCCUCUCACUUCCGGUUGCAUGUACCACUUCCGGGGAGUGAGUCUCAGCUUCAGGCCCUUCGCUGUACUGACGAUGCCCCCAGCUUGCACCUUCACUCUGCAUCUCUUCCUUAAAUUUCUGACACCGGAAACCAUCUUCCACCUGACGUCACCAGGCUCCCUCACCAACAGCUCAAGCUUAGCCUGUCCAGAACCAGGCUCCUGGCCACCUCCCUGAAGCCAGCUUCUCCCGCCUGCUGUCCUGGUCAGCUCUCCACAUCGCUCACUGCAGUGGUCGCCUCCGUGUCUGCCUUGCACCCCUCCGUGCAAAACCUUCCACGUCUUCCCGUCUCCCCCAGAAUAGACGUCAAGACGUACUGUUAUCACCUGACCCCGUUUCCCGCAGAUUUUCUGGCACUCGUGCCAAUGAGGCCAAGCUGGCCCCUUUGCUCUUCCUCAAAUACACGUGCUAUGGGCUUCUGCCCCAGGACGUUUGCAUCUGCUGAUCUUCUCUGAGGAUUGUUCCUCUCUCACAUUUUCUUAUGGCCAUUUGCUUCCUUAUUUACUCAAAUGUCACCAUCUCAGGAAAGCUCACUCACUUUCUACUUCACUCAUUUUCUGUCCCUAACACUUGUUAUUGUGCAGCCAAGUAUUUUACUUCCUUGUUAUUGUCUUCCCCAUUGGAAUAUAUGUCCAUCAGGGUCAAACGAUUGUUUUUUUUUUGUUUGUGUUUUUUCACAUCCUUAUUCCAGCACCCGGAACAGUGCCUGGCACAUAGUAUUAUUUAAAAAUUGAAUAAACGAUUGCAUUAGUUGAAUAUAUUUGAGUAA
rnacentral:lncRNA from 1 species